AUGAUGGCAUCGACAAGAGUCGUGGUCUUCACCAGAUCACUCACUCCAACUUGCAUUAGGUUGUGUGCAGUUUGCUUCAUCAUCAACCAUGUUAUUUUCAUUAAAGUUAAGCUUGGAAAGGGCAACUUAGUCUGUAGUGCUUACUGUGGUAGUCAAGUAUCUAGAGUACCAUGUUCUGAAAACACACACAUGAUGCUUCAAGCUAUCCAUACACUAAGAUUGCAACAUAAUACCUAUGCUUGGGCUUUGCGACAAAGAUGCCAAAUUGGCCUGUACUGGCUCAUUAUUAUGCUGCAAGGGAAUGCACUUUCGACAAAUUGUUGUUUGCAGUACCCCUUUUUGUCAGUUAGCUUGCGACCAUUAGGAAUUGAUUCUAACUUGCUAGGGGUUGGUCCUAGAGAAUAA
rnacentral:rRNA from 1 species